AUCAGCUAGGAUAAAGGGGAUAGGAAUGAAUUUUUUUAAUUUUUUGCUGGAGGCCGUUAAUUCUUCCAUAAAAAGAGGCGUACAGCAGUUUUAAAAGAGCAGUCGAACAGCAGAGGAAAGUAGCAGAAAAGUGUGGCACUCGAGCAAAGGAAAAUCUGAAAUUGAAUGAGAAAAAGCCGAAUCAGAAAUCUAAGUAGCAGCCUAGAAUUUCAACUAAUCAAGAGAAGAGAAGCUCGACGAUUUGGGAAUUUUUUCUUCUCCAAAAUUCAGUUUCAAAGGACUUGUGCUGGGUGGAUUAAGGCGUCAAUGACUAAGCAUUAUUCUUCUCUUGAUAUUUCCAUCUCAGCAGUUUUAAUUUGAGCCAAAGCUUAUUUGUUAUUUGAGAUUAUUUUUAUCAAUCGUAACACAUAACCCCCCCCCACUUUUCCUUUUUA